rnacentral:rRNA from 1 species
UGGGGAAUUUUGGACAAUGGGCGAAAGCCUGAUCCAGCAAUGCCGCGUGUGUGAAGAAGGCCUUCGGGUUGCAAAGCACUUUUGUCCGGAAAGAAAUCCUUGGCUCUAAUACAGUCGGGGGAUGACGGUACCGGAAGAAUAAGCACCGGCUAACUACGUGCCAGCAGCCGCGGUAAUACGUAGGGUGCAAGCGUUAAUCGGAAUUACUGGGCGUAAAGCGUGCGCAGGCGGUUUGCUAAGACCGAUGUGAAAUCCCCGGGCUCAACCUGGGAACUGCAUUGGUGACUGGCAGGCUAGAGUAUGGCAGAGGGGGGUAGAAUUCCACGUGUAGCAGUGAAAUGCGUAGAGAUGUGGAGGAAUACCGAUGGCGAAGGCAGCCCCCUGGGCCAAAUACUGACGCUCAUGCACGAAAGCGUGGGGAGCAAACAGGAUUAGAUACCCUGGUAGUCCACGCCCUAAAACGAUGUCAACUAGUUGUUGGGGAUUCAUUUCCUUAGUAACGUAGCUAACGCGUGAAGUUGACCGCCUGGGGAGUAC